AUUGAACGCUGGCGGCAGGCCUAACACAUGCAAGUCGAACGAGUGGCGGACGGGUGAGUAAUGUCUGGGAAACUGCCUGAUGGAGGGGGAUAACUACUGGAAACGGUAGCUAAUACCGCAUACCAUCAGAUGUGCCCAACUGGGAUUAGCUAGUUGGUGGGGUAACGGCUCACCAAGGCGACGAUCCCUAGCUGGUCUGCGAGGAGGACCGGCCACACUGGAACUGAGACACGGUCCAGACUCCUACGGGAGGCAGCAGUGGGGAAUAUUGCACAAUGGGCGAAAGCCUGAUCCAGCCAUGCCGCGUGUGUGAAGAAGGUCUUCGGAUUGUAAAGCACUUUAAGUUGGGAGGCGUUACCAACAGAAUAAGCACCGGCUAACUUCGUGCCAGCAGCCGCGGUAAUUC
rnacentral:rRNA from 1 species